AUUCUGAAUUCCUGGACAGAGGCUACGUCUGCAUAUUGGCUCAUCUUGGUUUGAGAAUCUAUCCUGGACCCAAGAGUAGAGUCUCACAGGAGAGGAGCUACCCCUUCUAGAGGUCAUGUUCAAUAAAAAUUAACCUGGAAGAAAAACUGGGAACUCCUCUACUUGCAAGGGAAGCUCAUUCAGAAGCCACCACUUUAGAAACACUACUAACAUCCCCCAGGAAGUGGUGUUUGCACAGUGCUCCUUGAGUAACGAAUCCCUGGGGAACGAACCUUCUUUGCAGGAUGUGGGGCUGUGCUAAAAAACCCUUCAUAAAUCAUGCAGCCGACUACCCACGCUGGCAGCCGCAUGCCAGCAUCCCUCAACACACAGCUCCUGUUUGGCACCGCCGUGCUGAAGCCGAUCUGCCUCUGCUUAUGAAUUGCGGGACGUGGGUAAACCAUCAGCCUCUCCUUUACCACCCACUUCUUUCUUGAUGUGGAAGGCCCUGCACGAACAUGAGUCUGACAGCCCCUUCCUCCAGACUGCCCACUUGGACCUGAACUUUCUCCACUGCCAUCAACCUUCUCAGCCCGAGCUCCAUCUCCCCUGACCUCAACUCAACAGCUUCCUUUCCUCCAAGAAUACCAGUGGAUGGAGCCAGCCCUUUGGCUGACCGUGGGGCACAGACUUGCGGGAAGAGCGCCGUCUUCGGAGUUUCUGCAGGUUUACAUCUCAUCAGCCGUGAGCCACUUGCGAGUCGCCCAACGUGUCUGAGUCCCAGUUUCUUCGACCACGGAACAGAGGGGAAA